rnacentral:rRNA from 1 species
AGUGAACGCUGGCGGCAGGCCUAACACAUGCAAGUCGAACGGCAGCACAAGAGAGCUUGCUCUCUGGGUGGCGAGUGGCGGACGGGUGAGGAAUGCAUCGGAAUCUGCCCAUUUGUGGGGAUAACCUCGGGAAACCGGGACUAAUACCGCAUACGACCUACGGGUGAAAGCAGGGGAUCUUCUGACCUUGCGCAGAUGGAUGAGCCGAUGCCGGAUUAGCUAGUUGGAGGGGUAAAGGCCCACCAAGGCGACGAUCCGUAGCUGGUCUGAGAGGAUGAUCAGCCACACUGGGACUGAGACACGGCCCAGACUCCUACGGGAGGCAGCAGUGGGGAAUAUUGGACAAUGGGCGCAAGCCUGAUCCAGCCAUGCCGCGUGUGUGAAGAAGGCCUUCGGGUUGUAAAGCACUUUUGUUGGGAAAGAAAAGCAGCCGGUUAAUACCCGGUUGUCAUGACGGUACCCAAAGAAUAAGCACCGGCUAACUUCGUG